AAAGUAACCCUAGACCAUCCCUGACAGGUGUUGGUCCAACCUGUUUUUUAAACCUCCAAUGGUAGAGAUUCUAUAACCUCCCUUGAAAGCCAAUUCCAGAGCUUACCUACCCUGAGAGAGAAAGAGAGA